UACGGGGGGGGCAAGCGUUGUUCGGAAUUACUGGGCGUAAAGGGCUCGUAGGCGGCCAACUAAGUCAGACGUGAAAUCCCUCGGCUUAACCGGGGAACUGCGUCUGAUACUGGAUGGCUUGAAUCCGGGAGAGGGAUGCGGAAUUCCAGGUGUAGCGGUGAAAUUCGUAGAUAUUCGGAAGAACACCAGUGGCGAAGGCGGCUCACUGGACCGGCAUUGACGCUGAGGUGCGAAAGCGUGGGGAGCAAACAGG
rnacentral:rRNA from 1 species